rnacentral:rRNA from 1 species
AGAGUUUGAUCCUGGCUCAGAUUGAACGCUGGCGGCAUGCCUUACACAUGCAAGUCGAACGGCAGCAUGAUCUAGCUUGCUAGAUUGAUGGCGAGUGGCGAACGGGUGAGUAAUACAUCGGAACGUGCCCUGUAGUGGGGGAUAACUAGUCGAAAGAUUAGCUAAUACCGCAUACGACCUGAGGGUGAAAGUGGGGGACCGCAAGGCCUCAUGCUAUAGGAGCGGCCGAUGUCUGAUUAGCUAGUUGGUGGGGUAAAGGCCCACCAAGGCGACGAUCAGUAGCUGGUCUGAGAGGACGAUCAGCCACACUGGGACUGAGACAUGGCCCAGACUCCUACGGGAGGCAGCAGUGGGGAAUUUUGGACAAUGGGGGCAACCCUGAUCCAGCAAUGCCGCGUGUGUGAAGAAGGCCUUCGGGUUGUAAAGCACUUUUGUCCGGAAAGAAAUCGCACUUACUAAUAUUAGGUGUGGAUGACGGUACCGGAAGAAUAAGGACCGGCUAACUACGUGCCAGCAGCCGCGGUAAUACGUAGGGUCCAAGCGUUAAUCGGAAUUACUGGGCGUAAAGCGUGCGCAGGCGGUUGUGCAAGACCGAUGUGAAAUCCCCGGGCUUAACCUGGGAAUUGCAUUGGUGACUGCACGGCUAGAGUGUGUCAGAGGGGGGUAGAAUUCCACGUGUAGCCGUGAAUUCCUUANAGAUGUGGAGGAAC